rnacentral:lncRNA from 1 species
GAAACUUUUAACAUUUAUGUUCAUUUCAGUUUUAGAUUUUGCUGCCUAAAUGAUUUGCUUUCUGAUGUUCCUGCCAUAGUUUUCCUGCCCCUCUCUGAGAUUCUUGAGGACAGAUGGGAGCCUGGAGCUGGGCAGAUCCCUCACAUUUGAGCUGCUGGCUUUGGUGAUUGAUAUCUCGUUCUGCUUUAGACUCUUUAUGGGCUAUUUGUCCUUGCUUUGAUCCUGGUCUGCAAAGUACAAUUUUACUAUUGAAGUCAAAUUGUUUUGUUGUUGUAUAUGCAGUCUUGGAACAACUUAUUGAGCAAAAUUUCCAGAAAACUUGUAGAAAUAAUGAAAAAGCCAUAGAUUUGUACAGAGCAAUAUUAAAGUGAUCCUUUUUGCAUCUGGGUUGAAACCAGAAUACAAAAUGUGAAGCCUAUAUGAACACAUCUAAUUUUCAAAAGUAUCUGUCUUUACGGUCCCAUAGUAAGUGCUCCUUAGCUGUCAGUGAUAUUUACAGAUUACUUUUUUACAUGGGCCACAACCAUAUGUUAAAUUAGUUUGCAACCUGUUUUAAUUAAAUUAGUUUAAUGUCAUACAGUGGUUUAACAGAGACUUAUUUUAGGCUAGCAUUGGUUUGUUCCCAAUAAAUUCAACUGAAAUUAUAUACUCUAAUUUUAGAUUUAUUUAAAGGCUUUCCUACAGCCCUUUGUACUGAUUUAGCAGAACUGAUAUGUAGCAGCACCUUCAUUUAAUCCUUUACGAAUCUUGGGUUCCAAAAAUGGUAACUACGCUUCUGCUAGCAUUACCAUUGGACUGCACUGCCUGUAGGUCUCCAUGCUGGUGGAUUUACCAGCUGCCCAAAGUAUGCUGUGAGAGCCACAGACGACAAAUGAUAUGAGCAACUCAACUGAAUGUUCUGGUUAUGAACCUCCCAUGCAUGAGGGCAGAAAGUCCAUCCAAGAAGGAAGCUGGGAUAAUUUCCCAGAUGCUCCCACUGCAUCCUGUAAUGAUACAGAAAGAUCAUUGUGAAGAGGGGUGUCCAGGCAGUCUCCGUGGUAGCAUCAGUAACAGUCAUUGAGGGCACAUUAUUCUUAAGAGGCAGACUUGAGCGUGCAUGGGCCAGUCUGUGUAGGUUAUGUGUCAUCCAAGGAAUUUUGCAAAGGCUCUUUAAAAGAUGUUUUUUCUCUGCUCUUCUCUGCCAGACCUUUGCCAGUGCCUCCCACAAUCUUAUGCAAUUGUAGGAGGACACAGAAUGAAGGAGGCUCCUCAUUAUGUCAAGGGAAUGUUUCCUUUGGGGAAAAAAAAAAAAAAAAAAAAGUAUUUGCUUUAUUUUUUACUGAAGAAUAACUAAUUAAAGUGAAAUAAAAGGAGGAUGAGAUGGGUAGACAGAAAAGGUCAGACUAAGUCUUGAUAUAAUCCAUUAUUUUCUGUUGGUUCACCUCAGAGAUAAAGUGGAGUUAAGGAAUUGCUUCUUUCACUUUGGCUAUUGUUCUUCCUAGGAGGUACAGAUUUACUCAACAGAGGCAUUUGCCUCAAUUCUGCCCCUGCCAAUGACAUGCAUGAGAUGCAACACCCCAUUCUCUUCCAGUUUCUGGGAUUAAGAUUGUUACCUUCCUAUGAGCCAUCUAGAUUGUCAGAGGAAAGACUGGAGGGUACGAAGGGGCUUCAUUCCUCCUACGUGUUGUUAGAACAUCAAACCACAGUUACCAGCAGAGAUUAUAAGAAAACUUUUUUAUCAAAAAAAAAACCCCUUUGGACUGAAAAAGAUAUUUUCUAGGAGGUGUUGCUUUUUUCCUUUGUAUGAUUUCCCCACCAGCAGGUUAAGCGUUUUGAACUAUUUCAAGACAUUUCUCAUUUUGUUUGUAAAUAAGCAUGCACUUGUUCUGGGAUUUUAGUCCCUAACUGUCUGCUUUGUCCAAGGGAGAAAGGCAAAAACGUGAGUGAAGCCCAAACAAUAAAACCUCAGCAAUGGAUCAGGCUGGUUAUUAUUACAUGAUUUCAGGCUUUGAAAGGUCAUGUAUGUUUUUCAAGCUGGAUUUAUUUUUUAUACUUAUUUGUAAUAUUACCUCGCUGUGUUUCAUAAUGUCAGGGAAAAUGUCUGGUUUCAGGCCUAAAAUGUCAAAGCAGCAUUUUCAAAAGCACUCAGCACUGGGCCAGAUGUUUUUCUGUUGGAAUCAGCGGUAGCGAUCCCAGCGCCGAAUGGUACGGAAUCCACCUUCGGUGCUGGUUUUGCAGCCAGGCUCCAUUUCUCCACAUCCUCCUUCUCUUCCAUAGUCCUAUUCUUAUGUGGCAACAUUUCUUGUAAGAAAGAUAAAAGCAUGACAGAUACGAGUCCGGGAUUAACUUCCUAUGCUUCCUAAUGACUACAGGUUAAAUCACAGAACUAUUUUAUGCCUCAGUUUACAUGUAAGUGAAGCAUAAAAUCUCUAUCUCAGAGGGCUUUACAGUUCACCAACCCCCUGGGGAAUGGCAAAAGUGCUGCUGAAACAAGUGCCAGGUAUAUAUCAUGAAAGAAUGGUCCCUAUAGCGUGGCGAGGAGUAAUACAGAUGCAGCUGAUGCAAUGCAGACAUAUAUCUCCACCUGGCCACCAUGUUAGUGAAUUAUUCUGGAUGACACUGUUUGUAACAACCAAGAACUCCCCUAGCAAGCAAAAUCACAAAGAAUUUGAUGAGAAUCUAUUGUUGAUUUUUCCCUUUCUAAGUGGUUUGGCUGCUGAAUUUGUCAGGACGAAGACAAAUAAAUAAAUAAGUAAAAAUGGGGGGGGAGGGGGAGUGGGGGAGGGAGAGUGUAGAAUAAAUUGAUUUGCUGUUCUAACAACUUUGAUUCAAAGUUGUUUUUCUUUCACAACUCUUUUCCCAGUCAGCACACUGGUGAAGCACAUCCAGUGCUGUCUGCUGCUGUGGGAUGAAAAUUUUCAAUACAAUAUUUUUAAGAAACACAUUUUUUGCCUAUUCCAGACAUAUGUCUUCAGUUGUAAGUAUGCCCAGACACAAAGAGAUUGCUCUCAGAUUCUCUAAUCCUCUGGAGAAGAUAAAAAAAUCUUCAUCCUCCCUGUCAUUGUCUGUCCUCUCCUGUACCUUGUGUUACUGUGGCAUAGCUUAGAAUAAGCUGAUAAAAGUACCAUAAAUGCGUGUCUUCUACUUCUGUGCAGCAAGCAUAUUUCUUUAGACUCAGUUUAUGAAUGCUAUAUUUUUUCCUAGUAGCCUGUUUUACUGCAAAGAAGCGUUGCUGUGAUAUAGGAGUAUGAUCUGUACAUGUUUUUUUUUGUUGUUGUUUUGUGGUGUUUGGUAGCACGUUGCCAUCAGUAAUGUUAUUCUUCAGCCUGGAUGGAGGUGCAGUACUGGGUGAAAGCAGUCCAAUCACCCUGUGGUCUUCCAAAGAACCUGAUAAAUUAGAACGCCUCAUAAGAAGGUUAUUUCUUCCUACUGUAAUUUUUGUCACCAGUUCCUCUGUCGCACUCACUUCAAGCUGGGAGUGGAGAAGUUUUUCACCCCUGGAUGAUAAUAAAGAAUCAGAGAAUAAAUUUCUGGUCCCAAAAGACCACUGAGUUUAGUGAGAGCAGUUGAUCAGUUGGUGCAUCCCAAAUUGUGGUAUCUGUAUGUGGAAGGAGGAACUGCUUGUUCCAAGUCUGAAGCUGAGGAGAAGAAAAUAUCCUCUGAUAGAGGGAGAUACGUGCUCCCCACACAGUUAUAAACUGCAUUUAGAAUGAGAAUUAAGAACAUGUUUUAAUGGAGCACACCAAUGCUAAAAUUAUUUGUUGAAUAAAUUCAUGUCCUAAUGAAAUUAAGGAAGUUUAGUUGCAUCCAUAAUGAUUACUAAUAAUGAGAACAAAUAGGAGUUACUGUCUCAGGGCCUGCAGCACGGAGACUUCAGCAAGCUGGAGAUGCUGUCUAAUCUGUGAGGCUGUGAGCACAGCAGCCCUUCAGCCAUCUGGAAAAGCUAAUGGCUACAGAAGUGAGCUGAGUGUUUUACCACGUCUUAGAUAAUGCAUUUAAUUUGUAUGUUAGUGGGCCAUUGACUUCAUAAUUUUUCUUCAGUUUGUUUGUCAUUUUAGAGUCCUUAUUUAUUAUUUGUGUUUUCAUAUUUCUCUGUUGAGCCCAUCAGCCUUUGGUAGUAAAUGAAAUGAGAGGACAAAUGACUUAACUCUCAUUUUCCCAAUUGCUCCUGGAUGGAACCUUGAGAGGAAAAGAAAUGGUCUUUCAGAGUCAGCUUCUGUUAAAACUCUGCUCUUUUAUUUUGAUAUUUAAAGGGAUGUAAUAUCACAAUCACUCUUCUCUCUUGGCACUUGGGGAGAGAUUUUGAAAGGUAUAAAUGGCAGAUACUCACCUAAUUCUCAUGGAAAGUGUCUGUAAUUCCACUGUAAUGUCAGUCAAAUUGUGCCGGAGCUGAGAUUGCUCACUGCCUGCACAAAACAAUGCUGUAAGGUAGGAGUUGGCACUGUGGGUGUGCGAACCACUUCAGAGAGUGGUAGCCUGGCACAGAGCUGGGAGCUCCUCUUGCCGGUGAUGGCACAACUGCCAAGCUCUGACAAAGGUCACAACUAGCUCAGCGUCCUGUUAAGGUGACUUCUCGAACUGUAGGAUGUUAGGAUUUUUCCUGAAAGAGAAGAAUAAGGCUUUGAACAACCUUCCUACCUGCUCAUGUUGAUUAAUUGGCAUCUAGGCUCUCCCACAUUCUGUGAUGUGGUUGCCAGGCCCCUCUACACUAACCUGGAGCUGCCUGCUCUUCUGAGCAUUGUGCUAACCCAGAGGCUGCUCUGCCAUCCCUUACAGCCUCUGUCAUCCUGCUGCUCUUGGGCAGCACAAAGCUCGUGGGAGGCGGAGAGGACACUGACGUUUAUACUUACUCCCAUGCUUAAAGGUACUGUGGAAUCAGGGCCUUCCAACAUUAAAAUAAAUUGCUCUUCUUUAAGAGGACGCAAUUAUCUAGUCUUCAAAGCAAUUAGGAAGGAGUAAGUCAGCAACAGCAAUAAUCCUCCUUUAAUUCAAACCCAAUUUCUUAAAAGUCCUAUGUAAAGUUAAAAAAAACUCUUGAAGUGCUUGAGUGCAGUGCUUAGAAAGCCCCAUGCAGCCAAGUCAGUACAAAUCCCCACCUGAGUUGUCCUUAAGCACACUCUUACCCUGAAGCACGUGGCUGUCCAGCCCAGUCACACACAUGACAUUAAGAUGCUGUGUGCAUAUCUGCUGCAGCCAUCACCGUGCAGCCUACCCAUGGCAAUGGGUGAAGCUGUGCUGGCUGCAGACUGGAAGCACUGACGCACUACUGGCACUUGUUACCCAGCCUGUUGAAAUGAAACCCAAGCAGCCAAGUGCACAAUCCUGUGCUGCUUCCUCUUCUUCAUCUCCAGGCUCAUGCUGCUCACACAGCUAUGUGCCAUAGAUGGGACAGUGCUCCACAGAGACCUGCUGGGCUUUUCACUCUGCCCUCUGGCGGCUCCAGCCACUGCUGAAACAUCAGACAGGUAUGGCUGGCUGCUGCACAGAUGGACAAAACUUUAUCUUCCCGCUGUCCUGUCAAAGCAUCAUGCGUAAUUUAAACAUUAUUUGUGAGAUUAUUUGGAAAACUCAUAUUGCUUUUUAGAAAACUCAUGUAGAACGUGACAAAAUCAAAUGAAAAUUAAAAUGAAAAAUCCCCUUUAAUUGCAGCCUGUACAAUCAGAUUCAAUAGUCUGUGUGCAAAUGGAUUACUGUGCCAAAAACAUAACUUGGGGCUAGAAGUAUAACAUCACUCAGUAAAUUAACAUCAAUAAUUAUAAGCCGUAAACAGUAGCAGAUAUAAUUAAGAUUUGAGGCCCAAGGGUUGUAAAUGCCUAGCUGCAACUGACAUCAGACACUGUGAUCUAGAUGUUUGAGUCCCCUACAGAGACAGCAAAGUUACAAACAUUACCCUACAUGGAAAUAAAAUGUCGCAUAUUAGGAGCAUUUGCAAAGUUCUCUGUUUUAAAGACAAAGAGGGCUCUUUUAAAAAGACACAAGUCCCCUGUGUGAUUCCAUUGUUGUGCAUGCUCUCCUUGCAGCUGAAGAUGUGUAAGAACACAUCUUCAAGGGUUAAGUUAAAUUACUCACUACAGUACCCUGCAGACGGGGAGCUAUUCCCAAAGAGCAGGCGAUAGGGCUUUGUUAAAUCUGUAAGCAGGGAAAUAAAGAUGGGAGCGAGGAGGGGGUAAGGAGUGAGGUACACACACUGUGAGCUUCUGAGCUGUGCAUGAAGUGAAAAACAGAAGAGGUGUUUGUGUUUGAGAUGUCCUUUCAGAGCCCUGAAUUACCAUCAUCGUAAUUAAGGAGAACAGAGCUGGGGUAGGGAAGGGGUUUCAGAUGAAACCGAGCGCUUUUCAGGAUAUGAAGAUUAUUAGUGCCUUUAACUUGAAUACUCAGAGCUUUGCAGAAAACUGACAUUAAUGAAAGCAAUUGAGUACUCAUCAUUAUAGAUAAAACCCAGUUUAUUGUUUAAGAGUUAGUGCUUUAGCAGAGAAGACAG